UACGAAGGUCCCGAGCGUUAUCCGGAUUUAUUGGGCUUAAAGGGUGCGUAGGCGGAUUAUUAAGUCAGUGGUGAAAGCCUACAGCUUAACUGUAGAAUUGCCAUUGAUACUGAUGAUCUUGAGUAUGAUUGAGGUGGGCGGAAUGUGUCAUGUAGCGGUGAAAUGCUUAGAUAUGACACAGAACACCGAUUGCGAAGGCAGCUCACUAAGUCAUAACUGACGCUGAUGCACGAAAGCGUGGGGAGCAAACAGG
rnacentral:rRNA from 1 species